rnacentral:rRNA from 1 species
UACGAAGGGGGCUAGCGUUGCUCGGAAUUACUGGGCGUAAAGCGCACGUAGGCGGCUUUCUAAGUCGGGGGUGAAAUCCUGGAGCUCAACUCCAGAACUGCCUUCGAUACUGGAGAGCUUGAGUCCGGGAGAGGUGAGUGGAACUGCGAGUGUUAGAGGUGAAAAUUCGUAGAUAUUCGCAAGAACACCAGUGGCGAAGGCG